GAUGAAGAACGUAGCGAAAUGCGAUAAGUAAUGUGAAUUGCAGAAUUCAGUGAAUCAUCGAAUCUUUGAACGCACAUUGCGCCCGCCAGUAUUCUGGCGGGCAUGCCUGUUCGAGCGUCAUUUCAACCAUCAAGCCCCAGGCUUGUGUUGGAGCCCUGCGGCUGCCGCAGCCUCCCAAAACCAGUGGCGGGCUCGCUAUCACACCGAGUGCAGUAGUUUACUCUUCGCUCAGGGCGUGUGGCGGGUGCUAGCCGUAAAACCCCCAACUUCUCAAGGUUGACCUCGGAUCAGGUAGGAAUACCCGCUGAACUUAAGCAUAUCUAAGCGGAGGA
rnacentral:misc_RNA from 1 species